rnacentral:rRNA from 1 species
UACGUAGGGCGCAAGCGUUGCCCGGAUUUAUUGGGCGUAAAGGGCGCGUAGGCGGCCACGCACGUCCGUUGUGAAAUCGCCCGGCUCAACUGGGCGGGGUCAGCGGAUACGGUGUGGCUCGAGCAAGCUAGGGGGCAAUGGAAUUCCCGGUGUAGUGGUGGAAUGCGUAGAUAUCGGGAGGAACACCAGUGGCGAAGGCGGUUGCCUGGAGCUUUGCUGACGCUGAGGCGCGAAAGCGUGGGGAACAAACAGGG